rnacentral:rRNA from 1 species
UGGGGAAUAUUGGACAAUGGACCAAGAGUCUGAUCCAGCAAUUCUGUGUGCACGAUGAAGUUUUUCGGAAUGUAAAGUGCUUUCAGUUGGGAAGAAAAAAAUGACGGUACCAACAGAAGAAGUGACGGCUAAAUACGUGCCAGCAGCCGCGGUAAUACGUAUGUCACAAGCGUUAUCCGGAUUUAUUGGGCGUAAAGCGCGUCUAGGUGGUUAUGUAAGUCUGAUGUGAAAAUGCAGGGCUCAACUCUGUAUUGCGUUGGAAACUGUGUAACUAGAGUACUGGAGAGGUAAGCGGAACUACAAGUGUAGAGGUGAAAUUCGUAGAUAUUUGUAGGAAUGCCGAUGGGGAAGCCAGCUUACUGGACAGAUACUGACGCUAAAGCGCGAAAGCGUGGGUAGCAAACAGGAUUAGAUACCCUGGUAGUCCACGCCGUAAACGAUGAUUACUAGGUGUUGGGGGUCGAACCUCAGCGCCCAAGCAAACGCGAUAAGUAAUCCGCCUGGGGAGUACGUACGCAAGUAUG